GCAUUCAUUGCUAUCUAAUAAACAGUCAGAGAGACUUCUGCAUUCUUCACACUGGCAGCCAUGCUCCUUGGAAUUCUGGUUUUCUCAGCUUGCUGCUAGGAGGUGGAGGGGAUAAUGUCAGGAAAGAAUCCAUUCUGGACUGUCUCUUCCCGAAGAUAAAACUGUGUGGUGGAUCUUUAAACUACAGCAUCUCUCAACUACAGCACUGCUUUACCACCCCUGGAUGCCUCCUGCCCCCCAGCAGUCAGAGCCACUGGUGUGACACCUGGAGGUCCAGUGCAAGCUGCAUGGAGAGCUCAGACAUCAGCAGAGGAGGAAGCAGCUUCUUUAAAACUACUUAUUGUGGCUGUAAACUGGCUGCAAGGAUUUCUGCUACUGCACACCACGCUUAAACCUUGAGCAGCCCGGGAUGAUUUCUCCUGCCUUAGAAAGGCUUGUCAUUUCAUGUUUCUCCAAGGAAUACAGCAUCCUCUGAAGCAUGCAGGGUCCAGCCUAGCAUCACAUCUCAAUGGCCUACGCCAGAGGACAAGGGGUGAUCAAGCCAACGGGAACUUCUGAAUACUUGUGGAAUUUAGCAGAUGCAAAAAUCUCAGCUAAUCAGAGAAAAGAAAUUGAGUAGUUCUAUUUGUACCUGCAAGAUAUAGUAUAGAAAAACAUAAACAUUACCACAUCAUUGUAAGCUAAGUUUUACACUGUUUUUGUCUUUUUUUUUUUCCUUCUUCUUUUUGUGUUUGCAAGAGGUAACUUGGUUUAAAAAUCAUAAACAUAUUUUUUUGCAUUUGCUACUGAUUGUCUGUGCCUAAAUGUGAUUAUAAAAGAAACUCGAGUAUUUUCAUGCGUAUUCAUUCUGGCCAAGAGUACCUCCUCCAGGUACAAGUCUGACAUAAAUUCUAAAUACCAACAAAAUGCUAUUCAAUAUUCAGAUAUUUACUCCUAUUUCUAGAACAGGUAAAUUUUAAGUAAAGCUCUACACCAUAUUAAGUUCAGCCAGUGCCUCAUUGUUUCCAUUUGGUUUGACUUCCUGAAACAAUGAUUCUGGGCUUCAGAUGGGAAAAGAGGGGCCAAAAAGAUUGUGUCAUCUUUUUGUAGUGAAGCACUCAUCAGUACCUGUUUCCAGUCCCAAGCAGGAUUUAAACUUGCACCAGAGUCCAGAACAUCGUAUCUUUCUUUUUCUGUUUCGGUUCUGUAAGACCUUAAUAACUUAAACAAAAGUGGUAAAACCAAGAACUCCAUUAAGCAUUGCUUCUGUACAAAGGAGGGAAAAAAGAUUGAUUUGCUAUAGUUUAUUGUGAAAUAACUCUCUCUAAGUCUUCGUGAUUCUUAAUAUCUUAAGUUCAUUGCUAUGUUCCCCUGCUGGCCUGUGUGCUUCAGUGUCUUAAAUGCUAGCAUUAAAAAUUAUGUCAUAGCCAAAAAAAAGUAUUACAUGUUUAAAUCCUGCUUGAAGGACCCAGCAUGUUGGCAGUAAUAAAGAAAGCUACUUGAAGAAUGCAAGAACUUGCUAAUCAGAUUGUUAAUUGAGUACAUGAGACUCACAUAAUAGAGAGACAAACUGAGAAGGUGACAAUGAUAGCCAGACUUCAUCUGUUGAGUUGGAAUUAACGAUGAACAAAAUCAAGAUCCCUUUGUGGUUGAUUCUUGUACAGCUGCAACCAAAUAUAAAAGACUCAUCAAAGAAAUCAACUCAUUAGUAAUUCUGUACAACUUCAAAUAGAAAUUCUUAACCCCUCAUCAGCCUUUCUCAGAUAACUCCUUAAAAGCUGUGUUAAAAAAACCCAAAACCCCCCAUUAUUUGCUUCAUCAACUCAAAGAAAUGGCCUGCAGGAACGUAGCAUAAACUGAAGCUUUUAAAAACAGAUCUAUCUAUAGGUAGAACAGUCAAAGCACAAAUAUAUUGUGACAUGUAAAAUCUCCCCUAGUCACCCAUGUCACACAGUGUCAAUAGCCUGUCCGCUUCACAGAAAAACUAACCCCAGAUUCAAAUAAUUUUAAUAUUGUAGCAAAAACUGACAAAAACCAGUGAAAUCAGAAAUAAAGCUGCCACUGUGUCCUUAUUGCACUGUCAUUUUGUCUAUAACUCUCCCCACUGGGAAGAGUUGCCAAACCAAGGGUGAAUUAAAGAUUGUGUCUCUAUAACGUUGGAAAAUAAUGUGU